rnacentral:rRNA from 1 species
UACGUAGGGGGCAAGCGUUGUCCGGAUUUAUUGGGCGUAAAGAGCGUGUAGGCGGCCAUACAGGUCCGUUGUGAAAACUGGAGGCUUAACCUCCAGACGUCGAUGGAAACCGUAUGGCUAGAGUCCGGAAGAGGAGAGUGGAAUUCCUGGUGUAGCGGUGAAAUGCGCAGAUAUCAGGAAGAACACCCGUGGCGAAGGCGGCUCUCUGGGACAGUACUGACGCUGAGACGCGAAAGCGUGGGGAGCAAACAGG